ACCCAGACCGCCAGCUAAGGUCCCAAAGUCAUGGUUAAGUGGGAAACGAUGUGGGAAGGCACAGACAGCCAGGAUGUUGGCUUAGAAGCAGCCAUCAUUUAAAGAAAGCGUAAUAGCUCACUGGUCGAGUCGGCCUGCGCGGAAGAUGUAACGGGGCUAAACCAUGCACCGAAGCUGCGGCAGCGACACUAUGUGUUGUUGGGUAGGGGAGCGUUCUGUAAGCCGUUGAAGGUGAACUGUGAGGUUUGCUGGAGGUAUCAGAAGUGCGAAUGCUGACAUAAGUAACGAUAAAGCGGGUGAAAAGCCCGCUCGCCGGAAGACCAAGGGUUCCUGUCCAACGUUAAU
rnacentral:rRNA from 1 species